AGAAAUUUUUUUUACAAUUAACAGGAGUAGAAUCAAGCAAACAUAUGAUUGUCAGAAGCAUAAAUCUGAUAUCCAAAAUCAGCUGAAAAAUAAUAACGUCCAGUAUUUUUUAAAUGAUCAAAACUAUAUGAAAAUGGACAAAUUGCUGAUCAGAAAACAUCAGAGAUCAUUAUAUUUCCAUUUAAUAGUAACUGAAGAUAAAUGCAUUAGUAGCAGCCAUGUGCAGCCAGCAGUCAAUUAUUCAUUAAAAAAAGAUUGAUCUACAUCAGUCAUAUUCAACCCAUGGUCUGUUAAGCUUUUAUAUGUGGCCUGAAAUGCACAGUCAUGAAUUUAAAUUUUAAAAUUUUGAAAUUAAUGGCAAUAAUUGAUUGACAGUUAAAUAGAUGUGGAUGAUACUUAUCUGCCCACCUGCUCCUCACUUCACAACGAACAUUUAUUACGCCAUAACAAAUGCAGUACUAUUUUACAACAUGUGUAUUGGUUAUAUUUGGUGUAGGUUAGGUAUACAUAUUUACAUGAGUGAUUGUUUUGUUUAUUAUAAAGGGACAAACCUGAAAUACUGUAUGUUUAAAUACAGUAUUAUAGUUUUGUUUAUGAAGAAGUUAACUCUUGACUUAUCCUAUUAUUAUUUUAUUAUACUCUUUAUAAUUAUU
rnacentral:lncRNA from 1 species